rnacentral:rRNA from 1 species
UGCGUAGGCGGCAUGAUAAGUCAGUGGUGAAAGCCCGGAGCUCAACUCCGGAACUGCCAUUGAUACUAUUAAUCUUGAAUACAGUUGAGGUGGGCGGAAUGUGUAGUGUAGCGGUGAAAUGCUUAGAUAUUACACAGAACACCGAUUGCGAAGGCAGCUCGCUAAACUGUUAUUGACGCUGAGGCACGAAAGCGUGGGGAGCGAACAGGAUUAGAUACCCUGGUAGUCC